CGGUUUGCUUUGGUCUGCCACCUGGUUUAUGUCCUAACGGUGGGGAUUGUUUAGAGGUUGGUGUGUGUACCUGCCGAGAAGGCUUCAAAAAACCAGACUGUUCCGACAUUGACGAAUGCUCGACGGGAGAUAAUGUGUGUGAGGCAGGUUGCCAUAACAACCACGGGUCUUACAGUUGUGACUGUCCAGAGGGUUACCACUGGAAAGCGGCCGAGAAAAAAUGUCUGCCCAUUUGUUUCGGCUUGAUCGGAACCUGUCUAAACAAUGGAAUUUGUAGAGAGCCGGGAGUGUGUGAGUGCAAGGAGGGUUUUGCUCAACCCAGGUGUACUG